CAUGCAGUCGAGCGCUUCUUUCCUCCCCAGGGCCUGCUCUCGUUGCAAAGAAGAGGGAGGACGGGUGAGUUACCCUAGCUAUACCAACGCAUCAAAUGGGGAAACACUUGGAAACACGUGCUAAUACCUUGAACCAGUUUAUGCCGCAUGGAUAGACAGUGAAAGGCGCUUUCGGGUGUGGAUGAUGGAUGGACCCGCGGUGCAUUAGCUAGUUGGUGAGGUAACGGCUCACCAAGGCCACCAUGCUGAGACGACCUGAGAGGGUGAUCGAACUGACAGGGACUGAGACUCCUACAGACUCCUACGGGAGGCAAUCUUCCGGAAUCUUCGAAAAUGUGCCAAAGUCUGACCGAGUGACGCCGCGUGAGUGAAGAAUGUUUUCGGAUCGUUAAACUCUGUUGUUAGAGAAGAACAAGGACGUUAGUAACUGGACGGCCCCUNNGACGGUUAUUCUAACCAGAGAAACUACGUGUGAUUNAUGUGUCAUCAUCACGCGGGUGUACAUAUGUAGGUCGCAAGCGUUCUCGGGAUUUUAUUGGGCGUAUAACGCGAGUUCUUGCAGUCUUUUUUAUAAUUUCUGAUGUGAAAGCUCCCCCCGUCUCCAGCCGGUGGGGGUCUCAGUUGAACACUGGUACACUUGAGUGCAAGAAGAUUACAGUGUAGUAUUCCCCAUGUGUUGCGGUGAGAAAUGCGUAGAUAUAUGGAUGCACCCCAGGGGUAGUUACUGCGUCUUUCUUGUCUGUAACUGACUGAUGAUGCUCGAAAGCGUGGGGAUUCACACAGGAUGUAUAUACCCGUUGCUAGUCCACAUCUGUACACGAUGAGUAGCUAAGUGCUUGGCCGCGUUUUCCGCCCCUUGAGUGCUCGCAUCGCAACCGCACUACAUCCGCUCCUACUACGCGGGGGUACUUGCUGCUCGACAAGGUUAAAUCUCACAGGCAACUUCGACGCGGGUCUCUGCANNCNAAGUUGGUUGAGCAUGUGGUUCUAUUUCGUAAGCAUCUUAGAAGAAUCUUGACCAUCGUCUCUGACAUUCUGUGCCCACUAGAGAGAUAGUGCUUUCCCUUCGGGGACAGAGUGACAGGUGGUGCAUGGUUGUCGUCAGCUCGUGUCGUGAGAUGUUGGGUUAAGUCCCGCAACGAGCGCAACCCUUAUUGUUAGUUGCCAUCAUUUAGUUGGGCACUCUUAGCGAGACUGCCGGUGACAAACCGGAGGAAGGUGGGGAUGACGUCAAAUCCUCCUGCCCCUUUUGACCUGGGCUACACACGUGCUACAAUGGGAAAAACAACGAGUCGCUAGACCGCGAGGUCAAGCAAAUCUCCUAAAACUUCUUUCAAUUUGGAUUGCAGGUUGCAACUUCCACGCAAGAAACCGGAAUCGCUUGUAAUUGCGGAUCAGCCCGCCGCGGUGAAANCGUUCCCCGGCCUUGUACACACCCCCCNGUCCACCCCGAGAGUUUGUAACNCCCGAAGUCGGUGAGAGUACCCUUUUGGAGCCAGCCGC
rnacentral:rRNA from 1 species